GACGAACGCUGGCGGCGUGCUUAACACAUGCAAGUCGAACGGAAAGGCCCUGCUUGCAGGGUACUCGAGUGGCGAACGGGUGAGUAACACGUGGGUGAUCUGCCCUGCACUUCGGGAUAAGCCUGGGAAACUGGGCCUAAUACCGGAUAGGAGCCAUUUUUAGUGUGAUGGUUGGAAAGUUUUUUCGGUGUAGGAUGAGCUCGCGGCCUAUCAGCUUGUUGGUGGGGUAAUGGCCUACCAAGGCGGCGACGGGUAGCCGGCCUGAGAGGGUGGACGGCCACAUUGGGACUGAGAUACGGCCCAGACUCCUACGGGAGGCAGCAGUGGGGAAUAUUGCACAAUGGGCGCAAGCCUGAUGCAGCGACGCCGCGUGGGGGAUGACGGCCUUCGGGUUGUAAACUCCUUUCGCUAGGGACGAAGCUUUUUGUGACGGUACCUAGAUAAGAAACACCGGCUAACUACGU
rnacentral:rRNA from 1 species